rnacentral:rRNA from 1 species
CCCGAGUCGAGCGGCGAACGGGUGAGUAACACGUGGAUAACCUGCCCAGAGGUGGGGGAUAACCCGGGGAAACUCGGGCUAAUACCGCAUGAUACCGAGAGGUCAAAGGGGGCUCGCAAGGGCUCUCGCCAUUGGAGGGGUCCGCGUCCGAUUAGCUAGUUGGUAGGGUAAUGGCCUACCAAGGCGACGAUCGGUAGCCGGCCUGAGAGGGUGAUCGGCCACACUGGAACUGAGACACGGUCCAG